AUGGAAUAUAAAUAGAGGCAGCAGAAAACAGAAAGGGAGUUCUCAAUCUCAAUCAGAAACCUAAUUUCACUUUCACAUACACAUUCUUCAUAGCCGUCUUGAAGAACAGAGCAUCAGCACAAAAGGGGAAUCCUCAGCCAAAGUUUCACAAGUCCAAAGCUGCAGAAAAUCCUUUUCAGUUCUUUUGUUCUAUAUCUUUAAGCGGACUUUUCAUGUUCUUUCAUUUUAUUUUCAUUAUGUUUGUUA
rnacentral:misc_RNA from 1 species